rnacentral:rRNA from 1 species
AAUUACCUACGGGAGGCAGCAGUGAGGAAUAUUGGUCAAUGGGAGAGAUCCUGAACCAGCCAAGCCGCGUGAGGGAAGACGGCCCUAUGGGUUGUAAACCUCUUUUGUCGGAGAACACAACCCGGGACGUGUCCCGGACUGCGUGUAUCCGAAGAAAAAGCAUCGGCUAACUCCGUGCCAGCAGCCGCGGUAAUACGGAGGAGGCGAGCGUUAUCCGGAUUUAUUGGGUUUACAGGGUGCGGAGUCGGUCCGUUAAGUCCGCGGGACAAUUGCGGUGCGCACCC